GCUGAGGGACGGACAGGGAAUCUAGCGAAUGAGCAGGGGUAGUUUGUUCUCUCUGUGUAACUCCGGAAAAAUGCGCUGUGAAAGUGGGAUCCAGGAACGGGAGUCCUAGCUCCGUUUCCUGGGAAAACUGAGCGCCAGCUUUCUGGACAAGCAGCCGGGGCAUUCGGUUCAGUUCAGCAAACCGGGCGUCUGCCUCAAAGCCCGCCCCUCCACCCCUAGAGUUUAUCUUUGAAGAAACAAAAGCCAUGCUUGGCCGGGUGAAGUUGAGUACCUGAGUCAGACUGCUGAUUUGUUGGAUGUAUGACCUUGGGCGAGUCACUCAGGCUCACUGUACUUCCGUUUCUUCAUCUAAAAUGGAGAUGAUGUGGGAUGUCCCUGGUGGUCCAGUGGUUAAGACUUCGUCUUCCAAUGCAGCGGAUGUGGGUUCGAUCCCUGUUCAGGAAGUAAGGAAAAUGUUUGAGUUCUGUGAGCUGUCCUAGCAAACCAAUUAAACCCAAGGAAGGGAUCAUUGGAAUCUCUUAUAUAUAGCUGGAGCUGAUCAGUGAGAACUCCAGGCGACAAGCUGAACUUGCAGUUGGCAUCUGAAGGUGAGGGGUGGCAGUCUUGUAGGACUGAGUCUUUAACCUGGGGCUCUGAUAUGUCUUCAGGUAGCCAGUCAGAAUUGAGUUAAAUUGUAGGGCAUCCAGCUAGUAUUGGGGAAUUGCUUGAUGGUGUUGGAAAACCCACACAUCAGAAUAGGUGUCAGAAUUGCAAGAGGCAUUGAGAUGGGAGCGUGAAAGGAAGGAGCAGGCUGGGGUGUGGGCCUGUGCACUUCUACCCCAUCCAUCUGUUUCCCUGGUAAUCUCAUCUCUUUGGGCUCCAAGUUCUUCCCUCCCUCCCCCAUCUAUACAUGUUUUCCUGGUUGCUGGUGAGGGGAGCCUGAGUAGAGGAGCAGUGUCUAUGUGAUUUGACAGAGCAUGAAGUCACUAGUUGUAGCCUGUUCUCUGGGAAAUAUGUCCUUUCACUUACACAGAUAGCCUUGUUUGAUCCUCUGGUUAGUCCUACAGAGUGAAGUAGGGACUGGUGUAACCAAUUUACAGAUGCGGAAACUGAGGACGGCCAUGGUGAAGAGACAAACCCACAAUGCAUGGUUAAUCAGGGCACGGCUGGGAUUUGAAUCCCUGGUUUUGACUAUAGGAGCUCUCUGCUUUACAGCCUGUGCACCCCAACCUGAGGGCAAAGCUCUUCUCCAUUACGGGCUGUCUGGUUUUCCCCUGGUUUCGGGGCCAGCUUCUGCUGUGCUUUAGAUCAUCAUGACUGGGUGGGGGUGAGGAACAGACUGCACAGAUCUUGAGGAUUCCUGACUCCAAAUAUUGAGCCUCUGGGAAUGGAGAGGGCUGAGAGUGGGAGGAAUACAGGCUCAGGAGAGAAGAGGAUGGUGGUUAUGUGGAUGGGAAAUGUGGUGGGGGUGCCAGUUGGAACUCUGUCAUCCCCCAAAUGGGUUUAAAUCACAUUUAAUUGCAUGUGACCUUAAGCCAACCUUUUGACUACCUGGGGCCCCAUCUAUAAAAUGGGUUUAUAGGAUUACCAUGGUGCUCAACAAUCAUCAUGGCUGAUGUGAAUAUGCGGGGCACUGUGCUGAGUGCUUUACAUGGGUAGUUUCUGUAGGUUCUCGCACAGCUCUGUCAAGCUGGGCUGGCAUUGUUCCUCUUUUACAACAGAGGGCAUGUAAGGAUAAGAAGGAGGAUGUCAUUUGGCUAAAGUCACAGGGCUAGUAAAUGGCAAAUCCAGAAUUCAGUGUAGGCAUUUUUGGCCUCAGGCUCUUCAUCUCACGCACUGGGCUGAUUAUGGCUAAUAACUAAUACUCAAGGGGUGCGUAACAAGGAGCAGACAUCACUGUGAGCAUGUUACACAGAUUUAUUCAUUUAAUCACUAUAGCCACCCUCUCUAAUAGUCACUCACGAUGAAAGACGAGGACACUUAGGCACAGAGAGGUGGGCUAACUUAUCCUAAAUCUACUGCCAGGAAUUGAGUUCAGGCAGGCUGACUUGAGAGCCUGUUGCUCUUUAAAAAAAU
ensembl:lncRNA